CACUUCUAUACGUUUUUGAUGUGAAACACUUAUGCAUGACUAGUUGUUAAGUUUGUACAAUUUCUUUGGUAGACAAGCAUGGAAAUAUGUACCAACUUUAGUGAAAACUGAGCUUUUCUUAACUAAUCAAGAACUCCCUCAUUAUGUGAAACACCUAUGCAUAUGACUAAUUCUGCACGACAAUUCUGUUCAAUUUGGAUUUCUUUGGUAGUCAAUUAUGUUCAAUUGUGAAACACCUCCUGCAUAUGACUGUGAAAGCAUGUCUACAUCAGUACAACUUUGCAUGCAUAUUUUAUUGACUAGAUAUAUACGUGUUGACUAUUGGUCUGUUCCUAUGUACCACAUAUUGUGUAAUGUAGUUUGCUUGUAUGGUGUUAGUGAAAAUGUUUGUAUGAAAAUAAUUGACAUUGGUGACAGCUUACAUGGCCAUUAGAAAUGCGGAAGCGUACAACAGCUGCGGCCGCCCAUGCCCUGCAUCUCCUGGUCUCUCUAUACCCUGCCUGCAUACUGUCUGUUUGUGAUUUUUCUAGCAAGUAUCUGUUCAUGAGAAAUAAGCUUCCCAUGAUUCACAGGACCAACAACUACUUGUUCUAGCACGUUUAUUUCAAACAAUUUGUGAUUCAUGCUGUUUGAUGAACGAGUAUCCAUGUCGGGAGACUAGCAGAACUUAUAAACUUUAGUUUUCUCACCACUAGUCACUUAUCCUGCUGUUCAUGUCCCUACAUCAUUUGUAUUGGUUCUAUGUUAUAGCUGCUGCAAACAAUUUAUUAAUGUGGGAUGUGGCUCUAAGUCCAAUUCUGUUUCUCUUCUCAAGAAAUCCCCUCUGCCUCUGGUGUGCAGCAAGUUGAUGGUUCUGUCUCUGUAUUAUUGUGGAGAUUGGCCAAGUGUUAGUCGAUCUGCAAGCCGGUUUAAGAGCUUGAUUGGACGGUCCAAUUCAACACGGAGCUGAGUGUCUGUUGAAACUUUUCAUCCAUCAAGCGCCGCUUCCAAUUCAACACGGAGCUGAGUGUCUGUUGAAACUUUUCAUCCAUCAAGCGCCGCCUCCGGCCGCCCCGACGACGCCCUCGCCUCCAACCGCCCCGAUGACGCCCUCGCUUCUGCAUUUGGUCCUGAUGUAUUCCUUUGACUAAUGAAUCUAGCAGCAUCAAAGUCCAGAAUAUCCAAAAUGCCUUGGCUUGCUGAACCCUUGUGCUGGUUAGAAAUGCAGAAUUGUGAUAUUGUGCUGGGAGCACUCUUGUUACAGUCAUAAGUUAGAUUUCAGCUUUGCAUCUUUUCAGGUUUAACUGUUGGUUUACAUUGAAAUUGUUAAGCAAGUACCAAAUUGAGUGCAUAGUGUGCAAUUUGUAUUUAGUAAUCUAGUAGCUCAUAAGCAUCAGACCAUAUGUUUUCUUAUAAGCACACUAAAUUGAUGGUUGAAAGAUUUUAUAUGCUUCUGAUGCAUGAUUCUUCUAAUGCUAGGUGAUUUGUUUCUUGGAAUUUGGAAGAGGAAGAAGAUGAAGCGUGGUGGUUAUCUAUCAAUAUGCCUUGUGUUCUAGUUGUACUUCAUAGGUAGUUACAUUGUAUUCUGUAUUGGUCUGGUUGUAUGAACACUAUGUAAAGAUUGUAAUAGGCUAAUUUUGGACGGUAUAUAGUUCUGUUUCAUUUGAAAUAUUUGUCAUUUGUGUACUGUGAAAAUGUGAGAAAUAGAAAGUUGAUGAGUUGGACUUAUUGGUAGAGGCCAAGGCCCAAAACGUAAAUAGCCUG
rnacentral:lncRNA from 1 species